AUUGAACGCUAGCGGGAUGCUUUACACAUGCAAGUCGAACGAGUGGCGGACGGGUGAGUAAUGUAUCGGCCCGUGCCCAGUAGCGGGGGAUAACUACUCGAAAGAGUGGCUAAUACCGCCCACUAUAGGAGCGGCCGAUAUCGGAUUAUCUAGUUGGUGGGGUAAAGGCUCACCAAGGCAACGAUCCGUAGCUGGUUUGAGAGGAGGACCAGCCACACUGGGACUGAGACACGGCCCAGACUCCUACGGGAGGCAGCAGUGGGGAAUUUUGGACAAUGGGGGAAAGCCUGAUCCAGCCAUCCCGCGUGUAUGAGAAGGCCUUCGGGUUGUAAAGUACUUUUGGCAGAGAAGCGGUACCUGCAGAAUAAGCACCGGCUAACUACGUGCCAGCAGCCGCGGUAAUAC
rnacentral:rRNA from 1 species